AUGACAGGCAUGCGGCUAGGUGGAGUUAGAAGGAUAAUAGUAUCACCGGAUAUUGGAUACCCAGAUAAUGAUUUGAACAAGUUAGGCCCAAAACCAACAACAUUUUCGGGACAAAGAGCCCUAGAUUUCGUUCUAAGGAAUCAAGGAUUAAUAGAUAAAACUCUCCUGUUUGACAUUGAGCUUAUCAGAAUAAUUCCAAGUCAAUAG
rnacentral:rRNA from 1 species